CUCAAACGAUGCAGCAGGGAACACUAUCGGAGUUGAUAGUGCCAAGACUGGUUUGGGUACCGAUGUCGAAAGGGCAUCGGGUUCCACGACCAACAUUGAAAUGCCGACUGGAGUUGGUGCUUGAUGCCUCUUCGACAGUCGCGAAGGCCCGACCUCAGAUGCUGCUCUCUUCUUGGUAGCGUGCUGACGAAUGUCAGCAUUCGAUACUCGCACCCUCUGCUACAUGGCUGCAAUUACAAUGGAGGUCAGUACAAUUCAGCAAGUAAAAAGAAAGUCAGAAAUAACCGACCAACUAUACUAUACCUAGACGAGAAACCGAACUAAGGCCGACGCCAUAAAGGGCCUAUUCGGUUA
rnacentral:lncRNA from 1 species